rfam:Puccinia graminis f. sp. tritici CRL 75-36-700-3 supercont2.53 genomic scaffold, whole genome shotgun sequence.
GACACUAUGGCCGAGUGGUUAAGGCGCUUCCCUGCUAUCUUGUAAGGAAGUGGACAUUGUCCGCGCGAGUUCGAAUCUCGUUGGUGUCG